CUUAGUAGAUCAUUUUGAUGUUCUAGGCACACCUAGUUCCUGAGAACUGGUGCUGGGACCAUCGCCACUACAGCUGCUGUUUACCAGAUGAGCAAAUCGAAGAAUUAACUUAGAACUAAAGGAAGAUUCUUCUGACUCUUGUAGAAUAUAGCUCCAGGAGAACCCAGACCUUGUCAACUACACCAGGGUUCUGCUUUUACUGUCUUGAGACCCAGCAGAGAAGCCUAGGUUUUGAAUGAUAAGAGGUCAUGUGAAAAAACAACGUGGGAUCGACCAUCUAGAUCAUCUGGAUCCAUCUAGCCCAGCUGAGUUUCAGGCUGUAAAGGAAGCCAUCUUGGAUCCUCAUGUAGCUCCAAUCAAGCCUUCCCACCUGUCCCCUUUAUGUUCCCUCCCCCAGCAGCUCAAUGAACAAUACAUAGAACAGAGAUCAGACACACAUCAGACCUCCACAUGCUAAGCUCUGGCUGAGUUUUAGAGCUGUGAGCAACUAAACCAUUGUGGUCAUUUUAAGCUACAAAAUUGUGAGCUAGUUUAGUUCGUCGCCAUAGAUAAAACUAAACUGAGAGGGAACCAAAGCACCAAAAAUCCCACAACAGUUAGCCUCCUAGGAAAACGAGGUUUGAACCUAGGCAGCCCAGCAUAAAACACCAUACCUUUAACUACUGUUCUGUGUUUUCAGCCUGGAUGUAAACAAGGAGCAAAGCAGAAUGAAAAGGCGUAUCAAAACCACAUUCUAAGAGGUAGAUACAAGUAAAGGAAGGGGAAAGAGAAUAAACAAAAACAAAGGACAGGGCCAAGACUCUGGGGUCAUGAAAUCAAGAAAGUGUGUAGGAAACAACAUAGAUGUCAACCUUUAUUUUUGCCCUCUAAUUACUGCCUGAGACAGUAGGACAUACCUCUACUUAUACCUAUGAAAAUGGUAGGUCUCUAUACUACCUCUCAGGCAGGGUGGCAGCUUAGUCCGAACUCUCAAUCAUGUGUUUUAAAUCUCAACCAACCCAUUUCAGCUUCACUGUAUUUUUAUCACACUGUUCAACUAUUCUGUGCCGCAGUCCAUCUAUUAGAAUCAAUGUGGGAGGAAGAACGGGUAUCUGGCAACUGACUAGCACA